rnacentral:snRNA from 1 species
AAACCUUAAAGAAAAGUAUCUGUUCUUUUCAGCUUAAUAUCUGAAACGCGACUCACCGAGUCGCUUGUAUAUUAAACUGAUUUUUGAAUCUAGACCAUGGAAUAGGGGCCCACCCCUCAGGGGGUAAUAAUAAACCAAA